rnacentral:rRNA from 1 species
AUGAACGAUGCUUUGAUCAAGCCGUUUAUAGAGAAGGAGGUCAGUGACGCACUCUUCCAAAUUGGCCCACUAAAGGCGUCGGGACCGGAUGGCUUCCCAGCACAGUUCUUCCAAAGGAAUUGGGUAGUUCUCAAAGAGGAGAUUAUUCAAGGUGUCAUCAUUUUCUUUGCAAAGGUUGAGAUGCCGGAAGGUGUAAAUGUGACCACGAUUGUUCUGAUCCCGAAGACAAAUGAUCCAUGGUGUAUCAAAGAUUACCGCCCAAUUAGCCUAUGCAAUGUCUUGUACAAAAUCAUUUCUAAGGUGUUGUUUAAUAGGCUGCGGCCUUUCCUUGAUGAACUUAUUUCUGAGACUCAGAGCGAUUUCAUCCCAGUAAGAAUGAUCACAGAUAACGCAAUCAUUGCGUUCGAAUGUUUCCACAAGAUCCAGAACAGCAAAAACAAAAGGGGCUCCCACUACGCAUACAAGCUCGACCUUGCAAAAGCAUAUGAUCGUGUUGACUGGGACUUCUUGGAAAAAGUGGGAUUUUGA